rnacentral:lncRNA from 1 species
AUUGAUAAUGUAUCCUCGUACAUGGUUUAUGGUGCAAAAUUAAAUAUUUAAAACUCCAUAAAAAUAUGUAAAAAAACCUAUCAUCUAGUUGUAUAGAGGAUACAAGAAGGAUUGUAGAGAGAUUUUAUUGAAUUUUGUUAAAACUAUGUAUUUUUGAUGGUUUUAUACCUAAUAUUAGGUACAUAACAGCCACAUAUUCCCUAAACCCUAUAUAUAUAUAUAUAGGGUUUAGGGAAUAUGUGGCUGUUAUGUACCUAAUAUUAGGUACAUAACAGCCACAUAUUCCCUAAACCCUAU